AUGGCCAAGUCUGGUGCCCGUAAGGAGGCGGCACCAGUCCGGUCAUCGGCGACCUCUCCGCCGCAGCAGCACAUCCCCGGCGCCCCGGCAAGCUCGUGCGCCAACCGCUGGCCACAGCAACUCUUCUACCCCGGCGCUCCGACGAGCUCGUCCGCCAGCCCCUCGACACCACCGUACAUGAGGCCAAUGUACACCCCUGCACCUGAAGACUUGCUAAGUUUUGGACAAUUCCUUCCAAUGCAUAAUUAUAAUUUUCAACCUCCGCAAGUGCAGCAUCCUGUACAAGGGCACCAAAAUAUGGAUACCAAUCAACCGGCUGAUGGUUCCGAUGAUGAAGCUGAAGCAAGUAUCAUUGAUCCUUCCUCCCUCUACACACUAGAUCACUACCUUGUCCAGAUGGACAUGUUAGACUCAUUCGCCAAGGAGAUCGCAAUAGAAGUGAAGGAAAGCCUUGACGCUCAAGGAAGAUCAAGCAGAAGUGGUCCGAGGAUUUACGUGAACAGGCCACGUGAAGAAGCUGCUGAGCAAUUGGUACGCGACUAUUUCUGUGAUGAUCCUACCUACAAGAAGAAGGUAUUUCGUAGAAGAUUUCGGAUGAGAAGGCCCCUUUUUGAGCGUAUCAUACAUGCACUAGGAGAGUGGUCUCCAGAGUUCACGCAAAGGAAAGAUGCUCUUGACCGUGAUGGGCUAUCUCCAUUGCAGAAAUGCACAUCAGCUAUUCGCCAAUUGGCAUAUGGUACUCCCGCUGACGCUCUCGAUGAGUACCUGAAGAUUGCCGAGUGCACAUCAAUUAAGUGCUUAAAGCUGUUCGUCAAAGGCGUGAUUCAUAUAUUUGGUGAUGAGUAUAUGCGAAAACCCAAUGUCAACGAUGUGCAGCGCUUACUUGAUAUUGGAGAGAGUCGUGGGUUUCCUGGCAUGUUAGGAAGCCUCGACUGUAUGCACUGGCGUUGGGACAAAUGUCCCAUGGAGUGGAAGGGACAAUUCACCAGUGGGUAUAAAGGCGUCCCUACUCUUAUUCUAGAGGCGGUUGCUUCUCAGGAUCUUUGGAUAUGGCAUGCAUUUUUUGGUGUUGCUGGAUCCAACAAUGACAUCAACGUGCUUAAUCAGUCAACGUUGUUCCUUGAGCAACUGAAAGGGCAAGCUCCUCGAGUGAACUAUAAUGUCAACGAGAAGGAAUAUCAACUUGGUUAUUACCUUGUAGAUGGAAUAUACCCAGAGUGGGCAGCAUUCGUGAAGUCGAUACCGAUGGCUCAAACAGAAAAACAGAGGUUGUUUGCUAAACAUCAAGAAGGUGCAAGGAAGGAUGUGGAACGUGCAUUUGGUGUGCUCCAGGCGCGAUGGUCUAUUUUACUGCGCCCGGCACGUUUAUAUGACCGGGGCGAUCUCCAUCAUAUUAUGUUAGCCUGCAUCAUUCUACACAACAUGAUAGUUGAGGAUGAAAAAGAAGAGGCGGGGAAUAUGCUUGAUUUGAAUGAGGAAGCAGGCUCAUCAAUUGUUUUCCCAUCAGUAUUUACUCAUGGUGGCAUGCCAAUAUUUGCCGAGGUACUUCAAAGAGAUGCUAGAAUUCGUAAUCGUCCGAUGCAUAAGGCUCUAAAAAAUGAUUUGAUUGAGCAUAUAUGGAGAAAGUUUGGGCGACGAUAG
rnacentral:rRNA from 1 species